GCCCCUCCUCCUCAAAGGAAGCUUUUCUGGGGCCUAACCUUCCUGAUCAACUCUUCACAUCAGGCCAGUUCAUCAACCUGGAGAAAUUCUGAGGCCAGCUACUAAGAUAGUCGAUUUUUGCCCCAUUCUGUUACAUUAAGCUUGUCCACAGCCCAGACCAGCUCCCAACAGAACAAAUGUUCUGCUUGAUUGCAUUGGAACGUGAGCGAGCCCCAAAUGGAAAAAGCUGCUUGCCUCCUUCCCGUUUGUUUAAUGGCUGGUGCGGUUUGGAUCUUCCCAGGUCUGGGAGGGAAAAAGAUUUGUUUUAGAAUUAAUAUUCUGAAACCCGAGGAGAAGAGUCGGAAAACCUGCAGUUCCCUCAAGGAGAGGACUGUCAAUUGGAUCAUCCACCCUGCCAAGACCACUUCUGGAGUUGCUGUUCUGAGCCACCUAGACGAACGCACAGGCCAGCCCCCG
rnacentral:lncRNA from 1 species